GGGUCGUUAGCUCAGUUGGUGGAGCAGUUGACUUUUAAUCAAUUGGUCGCAGGUUCGAAUCCUGCACGACCCA
rnacentral:tRNA from 1 species